rnacentral:rRNA from 1 species
AGAGUGAACGCUGGCGGUAGGCCUAACACAUGCAAGUCGAACGGCAGCACGGUAAGAGCUUGCUCUUAUGGGUGGCGAGUGGCGGACGGGUGAGGAAUACAUCGGAAUCUACCUUUUGGUGGGGGAUAACGUAGGGAAACUUACGCUAAUACCGCAUACGCCCUUCGGGGGAAAGCCGGGGACCAGCAAUGGCCUGGCGCUGAUAGAUGAGCCGAUGUCGGAUUAGCUAGUUGGUGAGGUAAUGGCUCACCGAAGGCGACGAUCCGUAGCUGGUCUGAGAGGAUGAUCAGCCACACUGGAACUGAGACACGGUCCAGACUCCGUACGGGAGCAGCGAGUAGGGAAUUAGUAGGACAAGUGGCGACAACGCCUAGACUCCAGACCGACGUACCGGCGGUGGGUA